rnacentral:rRNA from 1 species
CCUACGGGUGGCAGCAGUGGGGAAUAUUGGGCAAUGGGCGCAAGCCUGACCCAGCAACGCCGCGUGAAGGAAGAAGGCUUUCGGGUUGUAAACUUCUUUUCUCAGGGACGAAGAAAGUGACGGUACCUGAGGAAUAAGCAACGGCUAACGACGUGCCAGCAGCCGCGGUAAUACGGAGGUGGCAAGCGUUAUCCGGAUUUAUUGGGUGGAAAGGGCGUGUAGGCGGGAGCGCAAGUCAGAUGUGAAAACUCAGGGCUCAACCCUGAGCCUGCAUUUGAAACGGUGUUUCUUGAGUGCUGGAGCGGCAAUCGUACUUCCGUGUGUAGCGGUGAAAUUCGUCGAUAUACUGAGGAACACCAGUGUCGAAGGCGGAUUGCUGGACAGUAACUGACGCUGCGGCGC